rnacentral:rRNA from 1 species
UACGUAGGUGGCGAGCGUUGUCCGGAUUUACUGGGCGUAAAGAGCGCGCAGGCGGUCGUACAAGUCGCGUGUGAAAGCCCCCGGCUCAACUGGGGAGGGUCACGCGAUACUGUUCGACUCGAAGGCAGGAGAGGGUAGUGGAAUUCCCGGUGUAGUGGUGAAAUGCGUAGAUAUCGGGAGGAACACCAGUGGCGAGGGCGACUACCUGGCCUGUUCUUGACGCUGAGGCGCGAAAGCUAGGGUAGCAAACGGG